UACAGAGGUGGCAAGCGUUGUUCGGAAUUACUGGGCGUAAAGGGCGCGUAGGCGGUCCCGUCAGUCCCUUGUGAAAUCCCCCGGCUCAACUCGGGGAACUGCAAGGGAUACAGCGGGGCUUGAGUUCGGGAGAGGUGAGUGGAACUGCGAGUGUAGAGGUGAAAUUCGUAGAUAUUCGCAAGAACACCAGUGGCGGAAGGCGGCUCACUGGCCCCGAUACUGACGCUGAGGCACGAAAGCGUGGGGAGCAAACAGGG
rnacentral:rRNA from 1 species